UUUAUACUGUAAAACUGCGAACGGCUCAUUAUAUCAGCAAUAAUUUAUUUGAUGAUUUCUUACUACAUGGAUAACUGUAGUAAUUCUAGAGCUAAUACAUGCGCAAAGUCCUAACUCGCGAGGGGAGGGAUGUAUUUAUUAGAUACAAAACCAAUGCGGGUUCUGCCCGCCAUUGUGUUGAAUCAUAGUAACUUAUCGAACGCCAUAGCCUUGUGCUGGGCGUAGAUCAUUCAAAUUUCUGCCCUAUCA
rnacentral:rRNA from 1 species